GAGGACAAGAAGUACAAAAAAGAUAAUGUUAAUAUCAAUAUCAUCUCGAAGUUACCAGAGAGUUGAUAAACAGGGAAAUCUGGUUACCCUGCUGAAAGCAGCCCUAUGAAGAGGCCCAUGUGCUUUGAGUUGGGGUCUCAGCCAACAGCCAUGUGAGUGAGCUUAGAAGUGGAACUGCCAGCCCCAGUCAAAUCUCAGAUAAUGCAGUCUGAGAUGUCACUUGGAUCGUGGCCUUCUGAAAGGCCCUGAGUGAGAACCAUCAGCUGAUCUCAUAUUCUUGACUGGCAGAAACUAUGAAACAAAAAUAAAUGUUUGUUGUUCUCA